rnacentral:rRNA from 1 species
AACGAACGCUGGCGGCAGGCCUAACACAUGCAAGUCGAGCGCGCCUUCGGGUGAGCGGCGGACGGGUUAGUAACGCGUGGGAACGUGCCCUUUAGCUCAGAAUAGCCCUUGGAAACGAGGAGUAAUACUGGAUACGCCCUUUGGGGGAAUAAAGGAUCGGCCCGCGUUAGAUUAGGUAGAUGGUGGGGUAACGGCCUACCAUGCCUACGAUCUAUAGCUGGUUUGAGAGGAUGAUCAGCAACACUGGGACUGAGACACGGCCCAGACUCCUACGGGAGGCAGCAGUGGGGAAUCUUGGACAAUGGGGGCAACCCUGAUCCAGCCAUGCCGCGUGAGUGAAGAAGGCCUUAGGGUCGUAAAGCUCUUUCGCCAGGGAUGAUAAUGACAGUACCUGGUAAAGAACCCCGG